AGUGCGGUACGAGUUUCUGCAUGGGCCUCAUUAUAUUUGUAGAAGAUACUAUUGAUGAAUUAAAGAAACUAAUUGCUACGAAAAGAGUCACAUUACCACCAAGAAAUAUAAGAGAAUCAGCAACAGAAACUGAUGCAGAAGAUAAUUUUACUGCAAAAAAGAAAGAAAAAUCGGAAGAAAUAAGGGAAGUGUUAAAACAAAAAAUUAAUGAUCUUGAAAAAAUAACAAUCAACGAAAUUAAUCAAGAAAAUCGAUCAAUAGGAAAUAAAAACAGAAAAUCAAACCAACAAUGCAUUUCAAAGGAUAAAUCUGAAAAAAAUGAAACAAAACGUACGACCGAAUGUAACAUUUUAUUACAUUAUAAUCUUGAAAAGGAAAACAAAACCUUGAAAUUACAAAUACUAGAAAAGAAUAGUAAAAUUGAUGAACAGUCAACACAGAUAAGAGAAUUAUCUACAUUGAAUAUUGAACUUCAAAAAAAUAUUAUUUCAUAUUUUGAUGAAUUUAAAGUAACUGCAGACAAAUUUGAGGAAGUAAAAAGCCGUGAAGGCACAGCGACACCUCCUGUAGGAUUUAUUCGAAAAACCGAUAAUACUAUACACUUGGGCAGGAACGUAUGGCUGUCCAAAUUAACAUACGAUGCUGCAUUUUUCAAUGCAAGGACAAAUCAAAUGAUAGUAAAAAAUCUGGCGGUUGCAGUCUUCGGGUUGAAAGUUCUACAAGAGUCUAGUGUGACUGGAAUGAAAUGCAAUAAAUACAAAGAUCGAAAGCCAAAGCCAAAAUUAAAUGAAACAAAGAUUCUCGCUAUUCAAGAUAUUUUUCAAUAUUGGCUAAGUAAAAUUAAAAAAUGUUCUGAAGUUGAAGUCCAAGUAGAAUGCAGCAAAGUACCUUUAUAUAUUGCACGUAAAAUAAGCGAUUUGAACAGACCAGCAAAAAGUAGUAAAAUAGAAGAGAUAAUCGACAUUGAAUUGAAGUCAUCCAAUAAUAUAAAAGAUGUUAGCAAGAAAAGAAAGUUUGAACAACUUGAUGAAACGACUGAUAAUGAAUCAGUAUCUGAUUCAUCUGACUCCCAGAAAGAUUAUAAUCAAGACUGCAAUCAGAGUAACAUAGCAAGUGACAAAAAAGAGACAACCGAUAAUGUAUUAUCAGUAUCUGACUCACAAAAAGAUUGGGACGAUGAAGGAAAAACGACAAGUGAUAAAGAAGACAUUCCCAACAACAAAAACUUUUCUGACGAUAUGAAGGAUUCGAUUCUUUUGGAGAGGAAGUAAAUUUUUUUAUGACAACAAUAGAUACAUGUUUUUUAUAAUUAUUUAUUACAUUAAUACCCUUAAGUUUUUAUAAAAUAUUAAUAAAAAGUUUAAAAACAGAUAAAGGAAUAAUUUAGAAAUUAUGAUAUAUUAUCACGUUGUAGAUCCUUGAAAUUCCAAAAAUUAGUAAGGUAUAUUUUUGCAGUAAGAAAGGAAUAAUAUACAUACGUACGCGUUUAGCAAAAAAUAGUAUUAAAAAUUACAGAUUGCAAAGGAUCUAUAUAUGCAAAAACGGAAAGAAUUAAGGUAUAUAAUCGAUUUUUAACAAAGUGAUCUGAAUGUAUGUAUGUAGACGUAUAACGAUACGUUUUUUUAGUUAAACUAAUUUAGAGUUUAUUUUUCUCCUUCUAGUACGAAGGAAAAAAGAUAAACUAGUGCAAUCAAUUAAAAAAUCUUUUUUUGUUCUAUCUCCGCACGUACACGUUUUUGUAUUCGUUCACUUUACAGCAUUUAUAACUGGAUGUUUUGAAUUUUUGUAUAGUGCAUACAGAAACGGAUAGUUACAUCACCGUAUAGAAUUCCGUUGGAUACUGUUCGCGCCUCGGCGACGAGUUCGCUAGUGCCCCUGAGAUGGUAAGCAGAGAGAACGUUCGUAGAACAGGUGUUAAAUAAGAAAACGCACUGCAAUUACGUGUCACAUGGACUCAUCAUGAUGUCCGAGUCGUACGUCAAAAACAGAUAGUUACAUCAGCGCACAGAUUCGGAUAGUUCCGUUACAGAUCAGUUAGAUGCAGUUAGCUUUCUAUCCGUUUUUGCGUAUAUAAUCCCAUACAAUCUGCAACAUUUUUCAUCCGUUUCUAUCUGUAAAUACAGAAAAAAACCGCAUAAAAAACAGUCAAAAAGCUAUAUCAGCGCACAGAUUCGGAUAGUUCCGUUACAGAUCAGUUAGAUGCAGUUAGCUUUCUAUCCGUUUUUGCGUAUAUAAUCCCAUACAAUCUGCAACAUUUUUCAUCCGUUUCUAUCUGUAAAUACAGAAAAAACCGCAUAAAAAACAGUCAGAAACGGAUAGCUAUAUCAGCGCACAGAUUCGGAUAGUUCCGUUACAGAUCAGUUAGAUGCAGUUAGCUUUCUAUCCGUUUUUGCGUAUAUAAUCCCAUACAAUCUGCAACAUUUUUCAUCCGUUUCUAUCUGUAAAUACAGAAAAAAACCGCAUAAAAAACAGUCAGAAACGGAUAGCUAUAUCAGCGCACAGAUUCGGAUAGUUCCGUUACAGAUCAGUUAGAUGCAGUUAGCUUUCUAUCCGUUUUUGCGUAUAUAAUCCCAUACAAUCUGCAACAUUUUUCAUCCGUUUCUAUCUGUAAAUACAGAAAAAACCGCAUAAAAAACAGUCAGAAACGGAUAGCUAUAUCAGCGCACAGAUUCGGAUAGUUCCGUUACAGAUCAGUUAGAUGCAGUUAGCUUUCUAUCCAUUUUUGCGUAUAUAAUCCCAUACAAUCUGCAACAUUUUUUAUCCGUUUCUAUCUGUAAAUGCAGGGAAAGAAACGCAUAGUAAAACAGUUACAAACGGAUAGGAUACAUUUUUUAUCCGUUUCUAAUGGAAUUUUUACCAGGGACCUCCAAAACGAUCAGGACUGGAUGACAGCUUUACCAACAGUACUUUUAGGUUUACGCACAGCUUUCAAAGACGAUUUAAAAUGUUCUACAGCAGAGCUACUAUAUGGAACAACGUUAAGAGUUCCAGGAGAAUUUUUUGAAGACCCGGAGCAGCCAGUUAAGCCCGAAAUCUUCGUCCAAGAACUAAGAGAAAGAAUUAGAAAAAUUCGAGCCAAACCAGUCGCACAUCACUGUUCUCCAAAACCGUUUGUACACCAGGAUCUAAAAAUAGCAACACAUGUUUUUCUUAGAGAUGAUACAUUAACGGAAGACCAUGCAAUAUUUCAACAGAAAGACUAAAACCGGCAUAUCUACCUACCGAGGAAACCGAAAACGCAACAAAUUUGACAGACGCUGCACCACCACCACCAAUUCGUACUUACACAUCUGCAAAAAAGACGAAUAAACGAGUAACAUUCCAAGAAAAUUAGGAGGGAGUGUUGUGGCGUUGCAGCGCUCAAUCAACUUGUCCACGGGCCUGAUUGGCCAAGGCGAAAUCCCCCUAGAAAGAGUAUAGAUAGAGUAGCUAGUCUUGAGUUUCAGUAGUAGGUUUUAAGUAAGGCGAGUUAAAAGAAAUCUUCUGUAACAAUAUUCACGAAUAAAGUAAGAAGUAAAGUGUUUUAU
rnacentral:misc_RNA from 1 species